rfam:Rattus norvegicus chromosome 6, whole genome shotgun sequence.
GGGGAUUUAGCUCAGUGGUAGAGCGCUUGCAAGGCCCUGGGUUCGAUCCCCAGCUCCA